GAUGGCGACCGGCGCACGGGUGAGUAACACGUAUCCAACCUGCCGAUAACUCGGGGAUAGCCUUUCGAAAGAAAGAUUAAUACCCGAUGGCAUAAUAGAACCGCAUGGUUUGAUUAUUAAAGAAUUUCGGUUAUCGAUGGGGAUGCGUUCCAUUAGGCAGUUGGUGGGGUAACGGCCCACCAGACCUUCGAUGGAUAGGGGUUCUGAGAGGAAGGUCCCCCACAUUGGAACUGAGACACGGUCCAAACUCCUACGGGAGGCAGCAUG
rnacentral:rRNA from 1 species